AAGGCCUGAUGUGUGUGAGAUUACCCGCUGAAUUUAAGCAUAUAAGUAAGCGGAGGAAAAGAAACUAACUAGGAUUCCCUUAGUAAUGGCGAAUGAACAGGGAUCAGCUCAGUGCCAAAUCGGAAUCACUUGUGGUUCUGAAAUGUGGCUUGAAGGCAGUACCAGUGGCAUCGCGGACGAAAGUCUCUUGGAAAAGAGCGUCAUAGAGGGUGAGAAUCCCGUGAGUCGUUCGCCGUUUGUCACGUACGGUCUGCGUUCUAACGAGUCGCGUUCCUUGGGAUUGGAGCGUAAACGGGUGGUAAAUUUCAUCCAAAGCAAAAUAUAUACUCGAGACCGAUAGCACAAAAGUACCGUGAGGAAAGUGAAAAGACUUUGAGAAGAGG
rnacentral:ncRNA from 1 species